CUUGCGGCCACAUCACGUUGAUAAACCAGUUUCCGUACGAUCACCGAAGUUAAGCAACGUCGAGCCUACUCAGGGUGACCGCUUGGGAAUACUAAGUGCUAU